rnacentral:rRNA from 1 species
UACGUAGGGAGCAAGCGUUGUCCGGAAUCAUUGGGCGUAAAGCGCGCGUAGGCGGCCCUGUAAGUCCGUUGUGAAAGUCAAAGGCUCAACCUUUGAAAGCCGAUGGAUACUGCAGGGCUAGAGUCCGGAAGAGGCGGGUGGAAUUCCUGGUGUAGCGGUGGAAUGCGCAGAUAUCAGGAAGAACACCCGUGGCGAAGGCGGCUCUCUGGAACGCAACUGACGCUGAGACGCGAAAGCGUGGGGAGCAAACAGG